rnacentral:snRNA from 1 species
GUGCUCGCUUCGGCAGUACAUAUACUAAAAUUGGAACGAUACAGAGAAGAUUAGCAUGGCCCCUGAGCAAGGAUGACAUGCAACAAAUGAAGAUAGUUUAA